rnacentral:misc_RNA from 1 species
UAUAGGCUUUUGUGUGUUGGGAGGA